AUGAUGUCCCUGCUCAAGUACAAGAUGAAGCAUAUGAGAAAAACUUGGUUUCAAGAGAGGUUUCCUUUAGCCAUUAGGCUGCUGCAUGCUCAAGUUUCUUCUCCCAAAAGUGAUUGUAGUCAUGUACCAUGCAGUGAAAUAGCAUUCACUAGUUUUCAAGAAAGUGAAAUCUACUUCACCUAUGUGGAAUGGAGAGAGUACAAAUCAGUUGAAAUAAAUAGCUAA
rnacentral:lncRNA from 1 species